rnacentral:tRNA from 1 species
GCUGGUAAAGCUCGAGGGUGGAGCUACGGCGUGCCACGUCGUGAAGGGCCGAGGGGUUCGUAUAGUGCAGGUUCGAGUCCUGCUACCAGCU